rnacentral:rRNA from 1 species
CCUACGGGAGGCAGCAGUGAGGAAUAUUGGUCAAUGGGCGCGAGCCUGAACCAGCCAAGUAGCGUGAAGGAUGACUGCCCUACGGGUUGUAAACUUCUUUUAUAAAGGAAUAAAGUGCGGCACGUGUGCCUUUUUGUAUGUACCUUAUGAAUAAGGAUCGGCUAACUCCGUGCCAGCAGCCGCGGUAAUACGGAGGGUCCGCGCGUUAUCCGGAUUUAUUGGGUUUAAAGGGAGCGUAGAUGGGUUGUUAAGUCAGUUGUGAAAGUUUGCGGCUCAACCGUAAAAUUGCAAUUGAAACUGGCAGCCUUGAGUACGGGUGAGGUAGGCGGAAUUCGUGGUGUAGCGGUGAAAUGCUUAGAUAUCACGAAGAACUCCGAUUGCGAAGGCAGCUUACUAAACUGCAACUGACAUUGAUGCUCGAAAGUGUGGGUAUCAAACAGGAUUAGAUACCCGGGUAGUC